GACGAACGCUGGCGGCGUGCUUAACACAUGCAAGUCGAACGGAAAGGCCCCUUUGGGGGUACUCGAGUGGCGAACGGGUGAGUAACACGUGAGUAACCUGCCCUUGACUUCGGGAUAACUUCAGGAAACUGGGGCUAAUACCGGAUAGGAAUCCUUGCUGCAUGGUGGGGGUUGGAAAGCUUCGGCGGUUUUGGAUGGACUCGCGGCUUAUCAGCUUGUUGGUGGGGUAGUGGCUUACCAAGGCUUUGACGGGUAGCCGGCCUGAGGGGGCGACCGGCCACAUUGGGACUGAGAUACGGCCCAGACUCCUACGGGAGGCAGCAGGGGGGAAUAUUGCACAAUGGGCGGAAGCCUGAUGCAGCAACGCCGCGUGCGGGAUGACGGCCUUCGGGUUGUAAACCGCUUUCAGCAGGGGCGAAGCUUGUGGUGACGGUACCUGCAGAAGAAGCACCGGCUAACUACGUG
rnacentral:rRNA from 1 species